rnacentral:rRNA from 1 species
GAUGAACGCUGGCGGCGUGCCUAAUACAUGCAAGUCGAGCGAACAGACGAGGAGCUUGCUCCUCUGACGUUAGCGGCGGACGGGUGAGUAACACGUGGAUAACCUACCUAUAAGACUGGGAUAACUUCGGGAAACCGGAGCUAAUACCGGAUAAUAUAUUGAACCGCAUGGUUCAAUAGUGAAAGACGGUUUUGCUGUCACUUAUAGAUGGAUCCGCGCCGCAUUAGCUAGUUGGUAAGGUAACGGCUUACCAAGGCAACGAUGCGUAGCCGACCUGAGAGGGUGAUCGGCCACACUGGAACUGAGACACGGUCCAGACUCCGACGGGAGGCAGCAGUAGGGAAUCUUCCGCAAUGGGCGAAAGCCUGACGGGCAACGCCGCGUGAGUGAUGAAGGUCUUCGGAUCGUAAAACUCUGUUAUUAGGGAAGAACAAAUGUGUAAGUAACUAUGCACGUCUUGACGGUACCUAAUCAGAAAGCCACGGCUAACUACGUG